rnacentral:rRNA from 1 species
CCUACGGGAGGCAGCAGUGGGGAAUAUUGGACAAUGGGCGAAAGCCUGAUCCAGCAAUGCCGCGUGAGUGAUGAAGGCCUUCGGGUCGUAAAGCUCUUUUACCAGGGAUGAUAAUGACAGUACCUGGAGAAUAAGCUCCGGCUAACUCCGUGCCAGCAGCCGCGGUAAUACGGAGGGAGCUAGCGUUGUUCGGAAUUACUGGGCGUAAAGAGUACGUAGGCGGUUAUUCAAGUCAGAGGUGAAAGCCCGGGGCUCAACCCCGGAACUGCCUUUGAAACUAGAUAACUAGAGUCUUGGAGAGGUUAGUGGAAUUCCGAGUGUAGAGGUGAAAUUCGUAGAUAUUCGGAAGAACACCAGUGGCGAAGGCGACUAACUGGACAAGUACUGACGCUGAGGUACGAAAGCGUGGGGAGCAAACAGGAUUAGAUACCCUGGUAGUCCACGCCGUAAACGAUGAUAACUAGUUGUUCGGUCACUUGGUGACUGAGUGACGCAGCUAACGCAUUAAGUUAUCCGCCUGGGGAGUACGGUCGCAAGNUUAAAACUCAAAUGAAUUGACCGGNNGAGAGNGCGAGCGACGACGAGGAGAG